rnacentral:rRNA from 1 species
CUACGAAAGGUGCAAGCGUUGUUCGGAUUUACUGGGCGUAAAGAGAGUGUAGGUGGUUUAUUAAGUCGGAUGUGAAAUCCCGGGGCUCAACCUCGGAACUGCAUUCGAUACUGAUAGGCUAGAGUUUGGGAGGGGUAAGCGGAAUUCCGUGUGUAGCAGUGAAAUGCGUAGAUAUACGGAGGAACACCUGAGGCGAAGGCGGCCUACUGGACCAAUACUGACACUGAGACUCGAAAGCGUGGGUAGCAAACAGGAUUAGAAACCCUAGUAGUCC